AACGUAGGAGGCAAGCGUUAUCCGGAGUUACUGGGCGUAAAGAGCGUGUAGGCGGCCAGGUAGGUCUGCUGUGAAAACUCGAGGCUCAACCUCGAGACGUCGGCGGAAACCAUCUGGCUAGAGUCCGGAAGAGGAGAGUGGAAUUCCUGGUGUAGCGGUGAAAUGCGCAGAUAUCAGGAAGAACACCCGUGGCGAAGGCGGCUCUCUGGGACGGUACUGACGCUGAGACGCGAAAGCGUGGGGAGCGAACAGG
rnacentral:rRNA from 1 species